AGCUCGGCCAGGGGAACAUCGCAACAGUGGCCAGCCAGACCGAGGCAACAACGGCAAGGGCAACAACCGUGGCAACAACCACAGACCAAGCAUUUUGUUUUGUCCUAAUGUAAAGCACUUUGUGCUAUGUUUUAAUAGGAAAAGUGCUUUAUACAUAAAGUUUGAUUUGUUUAAUUUGAUUACAGGGUUACUGUCAUGGCCUGUCAGUUACUCCCUCCUCCCCCCUCCUUCCUGUGUCGGACGCGACCAGCUGGAUCCACUCACCUCAUCUACACCUGCCUUCAUAAACUCCUCCAGGAUCUUCAGCCGGUGCCAGUUCGUUGUUCCUCCUAUGGACGUAAACCUUCUGGAUCCUCACCUGGUCGCAGUCCUCCAACGCAGCAGUCACGCCGCAUCAAGAAACCUCCAGCCAGCCGUCUCUCCUCGCCUUGGUUCAAGCUUCGCCUACGCCGUCUCAAGUAGCCUCCAGCCAGCGCCUCGCCUCGUCUUGGUUCAAGCCUCGCUCCCGCCGCUGUUUCCCCUCAAGGAGAUUCCAGUUCAAGAUUCCUCCAGCCAGCUCUCGCUCUCUUCUCCUGGAAGGAAACUCUGUCAAGUUCUGGUUCUGAUUAAACCACUGAAAUCUU